UGAGUUCUUCGUGUCUGUCUCUCUCUGCUAACGCUGUUGCCUGGGCUGCUGCUGAUAUAGCUUGCCCCUUCGGCUAGAAAGGACUCUGGAAAGUUUACCCAAGCUAUCUCAAGGCUUACUUAGGUCUUUUGGACAAAAGAUAAAUUCCUUGUGGGAUUAUUCAUCUCAACUAGCCCCUUUCCCCUCAAGCCAUUUGGUUUUUUUGGAGGCUGCAGAAGAAGUGAAUUGUGAGCUACAGGUACAGUCUAACUUCACUGUUGCUGGAAGAACGCCAUCUCUGUAAGUAAGAAGCAGAGUCCAGCAAUAGCCAGUGAGACCCAGUAGACAUCCAUUCUUUGGGCAGAUGCCACAGGAAGAUGAACAAUUGUGUAUUACACUUUGGACAGUGUCAAGGACAAGACCCCACUGCAGGGCAGCCUAAGGAAAACCAAUCUUGGGACGUUUGCAGAAACAAUUAAGAACAAGACUCUUUGAAGCCACUAAAACACAGGUUUCACAUAAUGCUCACAUGUGGUCAGAGCUGCUGUUGUUGUUGUUGCUGUUGCUGUUGAUGAUGAUGAUGAUGAUGAUGAUGAUGAUAAUGAAGCUG
rnacentral:lncRNA from 1 species